GACGAACGCUGGCGGCGUGCCUAAUACAUGCAAGUAGAGCGCUGAAGCUUGGUACUUGUACCAACUGGAUGAGCAGCGAACGGGUGAGUAACGCGUGGGUAACCUGCCUUUGAGCGGGGGAUAACUUUUGGAAACGAAAGCUAAUACCGCAUAAAAACUUUAAACACAUGAUUUAAGCUUGAAAGAUGCAAUUGCAUCACUAAAAGAUGAUCCCGCGUUGUAUUAGCUAGUUGGUGAGGUAAAGGCUCACCAAGGCGAUGAUACAUAGCCGACCUGAGAGGGGGAUGGGCCACAUUGGAACGGAGACACGGCCCAAACUCCUACGGGAGGCAGCAGUAGGGAAUCUUCGGCAAGGGACGAAAGUCUGACCGAGCAACGCCGCGUGAGUGAAGAAGGUUUUCGGAUCGUAAAACUCUGUUGGUAGGGAAGAACGUUGGUGGAAGUGAAAAUCCACUCAGGUACGGUAACUUACCAGAAAGGGACGGCUAACUACGUU
rnacentral:rRNA from 1 species